GUUUACAUGUUAGAGGGAGUGGGGUAUAGUGACAGUAACAGAGGGAUUGAGGGUCCUGCUCAGUGAGUUUACAUGUUAGAGGGAGUGGGGUAUAGUGACAGUAACAGAGGGAUUGAGGGCCUGCUCAGUGAGUUUACAUGUUAGAGGGAGUGGGGUAUAGUGACACAGUAACAGAGGUAUUGAGGGUCCUGCUCAAUGAGUUUACAUGCUAGAGGGAGUGGGGUAUAGUGACACAGUAACAGAGGGAUUGAGGGUCCUGCUCAGUGAGUUUACAUGUUAGAGGGAGUGGGGUAUAAUGACAGAGUAACAGAGGGAUUGAGGGCCCCGCUCAGUGAGUUUACAUGUUAGAGGGAGUGGGGUAUAGUGACAGAGUAACAGAGGGAUUGAGGGCCCCGCUCAGUGAGUUUACAUGUUAGAGGGAGUAGGGUAUAGUGACACAGUAACAGAGGGAUUGAGGGCCUGCUCAGUGAGUUUACAUGUUAGAGGGAGUGGGGUAUAGUGACA